rnacentral:tRNA from 1 species
GACCGCAUAGCUCAGCUGACAGAGCAUUGGCAUUUGGGCUAGUAUUCCAAAGGUCGUAGGUUCAAAUCCCACUGUGGCCA